GGAGGUAGCUCAGGGGUAGAGCGCUUGCCUAGCAUGUAGGAGGCACUAGGUUCCAUCCUCAGCAUCA
rnacentral:tRNA from 1 species